AACCGGCGAUUGUGACGCCGCCGA
rnacentral:siRNA from 1 species